rnacentral:rRNA from 1 species
UACAGAGGUCUCAACCGUUGUUCGGAUUCAUUGGGCGUAAAGGGUGCGUAGGCGGCGGAGUAAGUCAGGUGUGAAAUCUCGGGGCUCAACCCCGAAACUGCACUUGAUACUGCUUCGCUUGAGUACUGGAGAGGAGACUGGAAUUUACGGUGUAGCAGUGAAAUGCGUAGAUAUCGUAAGGAAGACCAGUGGCGAAGGCGGGUCUCUGGACAGUUCCUGACGCUGAGGCACGAAGGCCAGGGGAGCAAACAGG